rnacentral:rRNA from 1 species
AGCGAACGCUAGCGGCAGGCUUAACACAUGCAAGUCGAACGAAGUUCUUCGGAACUUAGUGGCGAACGGGUGAGUAACACGUAGGUAAUGUACCCUUUGGUGGAGGAUAACUCAGGGAAACCUGAGCUAAUACUGCAUAUGUCCUUCGGGAUAAAAGUCUUCGGACGCCUUAGGAGCAGCCUGCGGCCCAUUAUCUAAUCCUAGUUGGUAGGGUAACGGCCUACCAAGGGUACGAUGGGUAGCUGGUCUGAGAGGAUGAUCAGCCACACUGGGACUGAGACACGGCCCAGACUCCUACGGGAGGCAGCAGGUGGGGAAUAUUGCGCAAUGGGGAAACCCUGACGCAGCCAUGCCGCGUGUGUGAUGAAGGCCCUCGGGUCGUAAAGCACUGUCGGGAGGGACGAAGAUCUGACGGUACCUCGCAAGAAAGCACCGGCUAACUCCGUGCCAGCAGCCGCGGU